rnacentral:lncRNA from 1 species
GGUCGGUUCUGGGCCGGUUCGACCCAUUUGGCCGGGGCCGGUCCGGUUUUCUCCUUUCUUUUUUCCUUUUCGCCUUUUCUUUUUCAGUUUUUCUUAUUUCUUUGAUAACUUUUGAUUUUGAACUCAAAAUUGGUCCAAAUAAAUUCCAGAAAAAUUUUAAAAUCAUGUUUUAUCAUGAUUCAACUUUUGGGAGUAGUUUCCCCUCAAAAUAAAAUAUAUAAAAAUACAUUUGCCCUA